AGUGAUUCGUUCAUUUUUGAACACGUAUGCGCAGCAACAUCCCCUCAGGUUCUGUACCGGAAACAGAAUUGAUUAGUUCACCUCUGGAGUCUUUGGUUCACUUCACAGCCCCACUGCCUUCGGAAUAUGGGGCAGUCACAUGAUGAACGAAUGCCUCGAACCUGAAGACUUGAAACGUGAACUAAUCAAAUGUAACGUGACAAAAGAAGAACGAUUCGGAUCGGGAGAAUUCACCAGACUUGUGUCGAUGGACCUGAGCAAGUUCUUUUAUGAGGGUCUUGACAAACACACGUCUCAAAGCUGCUGCAUUUGUACCGCUCGAGGCGCCAUGCAGACAUCGCAGAAAGGAGUGCCAUACUGGAGAGCCUGGAUAAAAAUGCAUCAAAUAAAUGGAAGAGGGUUGCAGUACAGUUGGGGCUGCCACUGUCCAUGCGGGAGAAUCCAUCUCAGUUCUUACAGAUCUGUGAGGAAAGUAAGAAGGGAUGUUGGAAGAUAUUCAG
ensembl:lncRNA